rnacentral:rRNA from 1 species
GGAGGAAUAUUGCGCAAUGGAGGAAACUCUGACGCAGCAACGCCGCGUGGGUGAUGAAGGCCUUCGGGUCGUAAAGCCCUGUCAGGUGGGAAGAAUGUCCCGGGACUGAACAGGUUCCGGGAGUGACGGUACCACCAGAGGAAGCACCGGCUAACUCCGUGCCAGCAGCCGCGGUAAUACGGAGGGUGCAAGCGUUAUUCGGAAUUACUGGGCGUAAAGCGCGUGUAGGCGGUCCUGCAAGUCUGAUGUGAAAGCCCCGGGCUUAACCCGGGAAGUGCAUUGGAAACUGUGGGACUUGAGCACUGGAGAGGAUGAGGGAAUUCCCGGUGUAGGGGUGAAAUUCGUAGAGAUCGGGAGGAAUAUCAGUGGCGAAGGCGCCCAUCUGGACGGUAACUGACGCUGAGACGCGAAAGCGUGGGGAGCAAACA